rnacentral:rRNA from 1 species
UAGGGAAUCUUCGGCAAUGGGGGGAACCCUGACCGAGCAACGCCGCGUGAGUGAAGAAGGUUUUCGGCUCGUCAAGCUCUGUUGUUAAGGAACAACGAGUGUGAGAAUGGAAAGUUCAUGCUGUGACGGUACUUAACCAGAAAGGGACGGCUAACUACGUGCCAGCAGCCGCGGUAAUACGUAGGUCCCGAGCGUUGUCCGGAUUUAUUGGGCGUAAAGCGAGCGCAGGCGGUUAGAUAAGUCUGAAGUUAAAGGCAGUGGCUCAACCAUUGUAGGCUUUGGAAACUGUUUACCUUGAGUGCAGAAGGGGAGAGUGGAAUUCCAUGUGUAGCGGUGAAAUGCGUAGAUAUAUGGAGGAACACCGGUGGCGAAAGCGGCUAUCUGGUCUGUAACUGACGCUGAGGCUCGAAAGCGUGGGGAGCGAACAGG